rnacentral:rRNA from 1 species
GGUUAAGCGACUAAGCGUACACGGUGGAUGCCCUGGCAGUCAGAGGCGAUGAAGGACGUGCUAAUCUGCGAUAAGCGUCGGUAAGGUGAUAUGAACCGUUAUAACCGGCGAUUUCCGAAUGGGGAAACCCAGUGUGUUUCGUCACACUAUCAUUAACUGAAUCCAUAGGUUAAUGAGGCGAACCGGGGGAACUGAAACAUCUAAGUACCCCGAGGAAAAGAAAUCAACCGAGAUUCCCCCAGUAGCGGCGAGCGAACGGGGAGCAGCCCAGAGCCUGAAUCAGUGUGUGUGUUAGUGGAAGCGUCUGGAAAGGCGUGCGAUACAGGGUGACAGCCCCGUACACAAAAAUGCACAUACUGUGAGCUCGAUGAGUAGGGCGGGACACGUGGUAUCCUGUCUGAAUAUGGGGGGACCAUCCUCCAAGGCUAAAUACUCCUGACUGACCGAUAGUGAACCAGUACCGUGAGGGAAAGGCGAAAAGAACCCCGGCGAGGGGAGUGAAAAAGAACCUGAAACCGUGUACGUACAAGCAGUGGGAGCCUCUUUAUGGGGUGACUGCGUACCUUUUGUAUAAUGGGUCAGCGACUUAUAUUCUGUAGCAAGGUUAACCGAAUAGGGGAGCCGAAGGGAAACCGAGUCUUAACUGGGCGUUAAGUUGCAGGGUAUAGACCCGAAACCCGGUGAUCUAGCCAUGGGCAGGUUGAAGGUUGGGUAACACUAACUGGAGGACCGAACCGACUAAUGUUGAAAAAUUAGCGGAUGACUUGUGGCUGGGGGUGAAAGGCCAAUCAAACCGGGAGAUAGCUGGUUCUCCCCGAAAGCUAUUUAGGUAGCGCCUCGUGAAUUCAUCUCCGGGGGUAGAGCACUGUUUCGGCAAGGGGGUCAUCCCGACUUACCAACCCGAUGCAAACUGCGAAUACCGGAGAAUGUUAUCACGGGAGACACACGGCGGGUGCUAACGUCCGUCGUGAAGAGGGAAACAACCCAGACCGCCAGCUAAGGUCCCAAAGUCAUGGUUAAGUGGGAAACGAUGUGGGAAGGCCCAGACAGCCAGGAUGUUGGCUUAGAAGCAGCCAUCAUUUAAAGAAAGCGUAAUAGCUCACUGGUCGAGUCGGCCUGCGCGGAAGAUGUAACGGGGCUAAACCAUGCACCGAAGCUGCGGCAGCGACGCUUAUGCGUUGUUGGGUAGGGGAGCGUUCUGUAAGCCUGUGAAGGUGUGCUGUGAGGCAUGCUGGAGGUAUCAGAAGUGCGAAUGCUGACAUAAGUAACGAUAAAGCGGGUGAAAAGCCCGCUCGCCGGAAGACCAAGGGUUCCUGUCCAACGUUAAUCGGGGCAGGGUGAGUCGACCCCUAAGGCGAGGCCGAAAGGCGUAGUCGAUGGGAAACAGGUUAAUAUUCCUGUACUUGGUGUUACUGCGAAGGGGGGACGGAGAAGGCUAUGUUGGCCGGGCGACGGUUGUCCCGGUUUAAGCGUGUAGGCUGGUUUUCCAGGCAAAUCCGGAAAAUCAAGGCUGAGGCGUGAUGACGAGGCACUACGGUGCUGAAGCAACAAAUGCCCUGCUUCCAGGAAAAGCCUCUAAGCAUCAGGUAACAUCAAAUCGUACCCCAAACCGACACAGGUGGUCAGGUAGAGAAUACCAAGGCGCUUGAGAGAACUCGGGUGAAGGAACUAGGCAAAAUGGUGCCGUAACUUCGGGAGAAGGCACGCUGAUAUGUAGGUGAAGUCCCUCGCGGAUGGAGCUGAAAUCAGUCGAAGAUACCAGCUGGCUGCAACUGUUUAUUAAAAACACAGCACUGUGCAAACACGAAAGUGGACGUAUACGGUGUGACGCCUGCCCGGUGCCGGAAGGUUAAUUGAUGGGGUCAGCGCAAGCGAAGCUCUUGAUCGAAGCCCCGGUAAACGGCGGCCGUAACUAUAACGGUCCUAAGGUAGCGAAAUUCCUUGUCGGGUAAGUUCCGACCUGCACGAAUGGCGUAAUGAUGGCCAGGCUGUCUCCACCCGAGACUCAGUGAAAUUGAACUCGCUGUGAAGAUGCAGUGUACCCGCGGCAAGACGGAAAGACCCCGUGAACCUUUACUAUAGCUUGACACUGAACAUUGAGCCUUGAUGUGUAGGAUAGGUGGGAGGCUUUGAAGUGUGGACGCCAGUCUGCAUGGAGCCGACCUUGAAAUACCACCCUUUAAUGUUUGAUGUUCUAACGUUGACCCGUAAUCCGGGUUGCGGACAGUGUCUGGUGGGUAGUUUGACUGGGGCGGUCUCCUCCUAAAGAGUAACGGAGGAGCACGAAGGUUGGCUAAUCCUGGUCGGACAUCAGGAGGUUAGUGCAAUGGCAUAAGCCAGCUUGACUGCGAGCGUGACGGCGCGAGCAGGUGCGAAAGCAGGUCAUAGUGAUCCGGUGGUUCUGAAUGGAAGGGCCAUCGCUCAACGGAUAAAAGGUACUCCGGGGAUAACAGGCUGAUACCGCCCAAGAGUUCAUAUCGACGGCGGUGUUUGGCACCUCGAUGUCGGCUCAUCACAUCCUGGGGCUGAAGUAGGUCCCAAGGGUAUGGCUGUUCGCCAUUUAAAGUGGUACGCGAGCUGGGUUUAGAACGUCGUGAGACAGUUCGGUCCCUAUCUGCCGUGGGCGCUGGAGAACUGAGGGGGGCUGCUCCUAGUACGAGAGGACCGGAGUGGACGCAUCACUGGUGUUCGGGUUGUCAUGCCAAUGGCACUGCCCGGUAGCUAAAUGCGGAAGAGAUAAGUGCUGAAAGCAUCUAAGCACGAAACUUGCCCCGAGAUGAGUUCUCCCUGACUCCUUGAGAGUCCUGAAGGAACGUUGAAGACGACGACGUUGAUAGGCCGGGUGUGUAAGCGCAGCGAUGCGUUGAGCUAACCGGUACUAAUGAACCGUGAGGCUUAACCUU